rnacentral:sRNA from 1 species
UGUAGAUGAAGUUCGAUUAAAAUCGCUGCAUGGUGGUGUAGCAACAUCAAACCAACCCACAUCUUAUGGG